CCUACGGGGGGCAGCAGUGAGGAAUAUUGGUCAAUGGACGAGAGGCUGAACCAGCCAAGUAGCGUGAAGGAUGACUGCCCUAUGGGUUGUAAACUUCUUUUAUAAAGGAAUAAAACGAGGCACGUGUGCCUUUUUGCAUGUACUUUAUGAAUAAGGAUCGGCUAACUCCGUGCCAGCAGCCGCGGUAAUACGGAGGAUCCGAGCGUUAUCCGGAUUUAUUGGGUUUAAAGGGAGCGUAGAUGGGUUGUUAAGUCAGGUGUGAAAGUUUGCGGCUCAACCGUAAAAUUGCAAUUGAUACUGGCAGUCUUGAGUACAGUUGAGGUAAGCGGAAUGCGUGGUGUAGCGGUGAAAUGCUUAGAUAUCACGAAGAACCCCGAUUGCGAAGGCAGCUUACUAGACUGUGACUGACAUUGAUGCUCGAAAGUGUGGGUAUCAAACAGGAUUAGAUACCCCAGUAGUC
rnacentral:rRNA from 1 species